GUUACAAAUGUAUACGCUCCAUCGCAACGUGAUCUAAAGAUGGCUUUCCUCGACGAACUAAAAUUAAUUGAACCACCAAUACAAUCACCUUGGCUCCUAAUUGGAGACUUCAACAUCACCAGAUUCCCCAACGAACGUAACAACAACAACUUUCGAAGAUCAGAGGCAGACGCUUUUAACGAUACAAUUGAUCAACUUGCUCUCAUUGAACUACCACUCCUAGACAGAGAGUUCACCUGGUCAAAUAAA
rnacentral:rRNA from 1 species